GAGGAGUCUUUUCAAGGUUGGAAUUGAAUUCCUCCUUUCACAAUCACUUGUACUCCCCCUAUCACGCGUCCUCCCCAAUUUUGGACUUGAGAUAACGGUACAGACCUGUAUCUCCUGAAAAAAAAACAAAAAAAAACUAUUUUUUUUUUUCUGGUACCCAGUGACAUCGAAGUUUCCUGUGCUGCUCAAACACAUUCGUGCCUCACUGCAUCAGUCUGUCUAAACAGGCCGGGGCGCUGAUGGACUACAGAAUCUUUUCGAUUCAUCCUGGAGAACUGGGCAGAGGACCGAGCAGGAAAAUGGACCCAAGAACCUCGUCCAUCCAGCAGCCAUGCCAGAAGCACCAACUAAAUCUAAAAACCACAGAUUCAAUUAACUAAUCCUCUUCCUAGAAGUGCCAAGAAGAAAUAAUCUUGUCACUAUCCCCUUUGCCAUGAGCCCCGAUCCAAAGCUCAAUAUGCUUUUGAUUUUCCUAGAGUCUUCAAAAAAAAAAAAAAACCAGAAAUGUUAUUUCAGGGCCACUCCCUGUUUUCCACAUUCUUGACAGAGGCAAUAAGGUGGAGGAGAAACCAGCCCAGCAUCAAAGAAGAACCCCCAUCUGUUCCAAUAGAGACACGACUGGAUAGACCAUCAACACAGAUUGUUCUUGUCUGCGGCUCCUCUGGAACUGUUGUUGCUCUUCUUCCAUCUCUAAGUUGUGUCCAAGUCUUUGUGACCCCAUGAACUGCAGCAUGGCAGGCUUCUUUGUCUCCCUGUAUUUCCUAGAGUUUGCUCAAAUUCACGUCCGUUGAGUUGGUGAUGCUAUCUAACCAUCUCAUCCUCGGUCACCCCCUUCUCCUCCGGCCCUCAAUCUUUCCCAGUGUCAGGGUGUUUUCCCAAUGAGUCAGCUCUUCGCAUCAGGUGGCAUAGGUGGCCUCUUUGACUGUGGACCCCACUUAAACAUUUCCCCUGCACAUUUUGAAUGACUCAGGAUAAAGCUAGUCAGAGGGAGUCAAAGGCAGAACUCUCCCAGGAAGUGGGCAGGUAGGGCCAGCCCUGCUUCCCCAGGAAAGCCCUGGGGAAGGACCUGUGGGCACAGCCACAUGUCCCUCUAAGGAUGACUAUUUUGUGUAGAACAUUUCUUCCAGCACAAGGCAGGUCAGGAGCCCCAGCCUGCACAACUCCAGGUCUGUCUGCCACUCCCUGGCAGCACCUCGGGCCCUCGGCUCCCUGCUCUCCACUAUUUCUUCCAUGAACUUUAACUACGCUUGGGCAGAUCCGUGAGAAUGAAUCAAGAACCAAACAGACAAGGACCUGCAUUCAAAGCAAAGGCUGACGCUCCUGGGGCCGGAGUCCAUGAGGAAACUUGCUUCUGCGCCUCAUUUUUCAUUUUCUAACAGCCCGUCUCCUCCAGUUUCCACAUCCCAGGUGGAGCCAGGGACAAGAACAUUCCAGUGUCCAAGCCGCGAUGCUGGAGGGAAACGAGACCUGGUGGCAGACCCCUCCCCACCUCGGACUCUGGGCCCUCCCCUGAUUGCUCAGCGUUAAGGGUGAGAGGCAGGAGGUUGACCCCUCAUGCCUCCACCCUCAGGAGAAUGGAGUUGAAGCUACCGGUGUUCUUCCAGCAUAGCCGAUGACCAGCAAGGAGGGCCCUGCAGAGACCCAGCUGUGCGGGGUGCUUCCUAU
rnacentral:lncRNA from 1 species